GAUUACGGCCAUACCACACUGACAACGCCUGAUCUCGGAAGCUAAGCAGAGUUGGGCUGGGUCAGUACUUGGAUGGGUGACCGCCUGGGAAUACCCCGUGCUGUAAGCA
rnacentral:rRNA from 1 species